rnacentral:rRNA from 1 species
GUAGUUAGCCGGGGCUUCCUCCUCAAGUACCGUCAUUAUCUUCCUUGAGGGCAGAGUUUUACGACCCGAAGGCCUUCAUCACUCACGCGGCGUUGCUGCAUCAGGCUUUCGCCCAUUGUGCAAUAUUCCCCACUGCUGCCUCCCGUAGGAGUCUGGACCGUGUCUCAGUUCCAGUGUGGCCGAUCAGCCUCUCAGCUCGGCUACCCAUCGUUGACUAGGUGGGCCGUUACCCCGCCUACUAUCUAAUGGGACGCGAGCCCCUCCCUUUGCGGAUUGCUCCUUUGACCUCAUCCCGAUGCCGGGUCGUGGUCUUAUGCGGUAUUAGCAUCUGUUUCCAAAUGUUAUCCCCCUCAAAGGGUCAGGUUGCUCACGCGUUACUCACCCGUUCGCCACUAGGUACAAAACCGAAAUCUUAUACCCCGUUCGACUUGCAUGUGUUAGGCACGCCGCCAGCGUUCGUCCUGAGCACGANACAACACUGA